CAUAAGUGGUCAGAGCACUUGGUUACAAGAAACUUGGGCUUUCUCUGUACUGAGCUGCAUGAUUUCUGUUUCCCUUCCUCUGAAGCUGUGCCUCCAUUUUAAAGAAUUAUCUCUUCCAUCUGGACUUCUGUUCCCUGAGAUACUCACCAGGGGCUGUCAGCACUGUGAUGGGAAUGCUGGGGAGGCAGUGGAGAAGCUGAAGAGGUGAAGCAAUUUAGGACUCAAUCCAAAGUUUAUCCAAGCCAUCAGGAAGCUUCGUGUUGGUUGUGCAGCCUUCGGCAAAGGCACGGCUCCCCUCGCUGCAACCACAUCUGAGCCACUGCAACAGGCAUUACUUAAUAGCGCUGAGAAGAGAAACAGAAGAAAAUUUCUUUGAAGAUUUACCUGGGCCUGAAAGGGCAGGAGGGGAGAAGACGAAGUGGAAAUAUGGGCAAAUGGAGGAGAACCAUUUGCCACCAUCCAAACAGGUCCUUUUCAACCACUUUUCUGUUGUGUACCUGCUUGUAGCCAGAGCCACUUGGUGCAAGCAGAGGUUAGAGACCUUUGGGGCUAACGCUGAAGUUCCAGCCUUUCUUCUGUUUCUUCUUAAUGUGAUGAAACCUGAGUCUGAAUGGGGAAAGUUCAGUCGUAAUGUGGCCAGCCCUGCGGUGUUGAGCUGAGAAAGUCUGCGGUUAUUAUUUCCUCCUCUGGGGCGUUUGUGGAUGACCAUUGCUGCCCUGAGAGCACCCGCCUGCUUGGCAGCCCCUGCCCAGUCUGCAGCCACUCAGCACGGCGUAUCCCACCCACAGCGAUGCUUUGUGCCAGCACCACCUGGCUGGGGGUUACAGCCCUAGUGCUCAGCACUUGCACCUUUUACCUCCCUGUGCACAAAAGGCCAGGGUGGGCCUCCCUGACCUGAUGUGCCACCGAGGGAGCUUGCUUGUGAGUUUGUACAGUGUGUGGCUAGGAAUCAGCUGUAGCAAUCUGCCCACAGAACUCAAGCAACACCAGAAAAACUCAUUAUUCAAUACCUUAUUUCAUGCUCUGGAAACAAGAGCAACAACCCCAGCCCUUCCUCCCCUUACAGUGGUGCGGUUUCCAUCAGUCUUUUCAACUCCUAAUGAGAUUUAGCACUGGGGAGGGAUGUUUGUGCCAGAAGGACCAAGGCUUCUCAUCAAAAAGACAUUGAAGUGUUCAGAAAAGUUCCUAUAACAUUUGGAUCAAACCCCAUUUCUGUAUGGAAGAACGGAGGUAAUGCCACCUUUGUGAAGGUUUUAGGAGCUGUCUCUCUGCUCCUAUGUCAGGAAUGUGUUUGUGGAAAGUCUGCAAGAUCUUACCAAAUGAACUCAUCAGAGACUCACCCUGUGCCAAAAGACACGUUGCCCCAGGGAUGCUUGCACCAGUUCAUGGCCUCCUUUCCUGCCCCAGCACAGAGAACAACUCCUGCUGAUGGAGCAGAGGCUGCUGUCAGAGAGCUCAGCAGCAUCUCACAAAGCAAAACCCUCUGUGGCUCUGCUCCUCCUGCAGGAAAUUAGAACUGAAGGAGGGAGUGCAGUUUUCUGCAAGCAAACAGAGCUGAAGUGACAGGGAAGUGGCACUGUGACACACACAGCGUGCACCUUACUCUGCUAUUCCCCUGAUGAUCAAUGUUACCGGAGGCAUUUUGCAGAUGAGUGCAGU
rnacentral:lncRNA from 1 species